UCAAGCGGAAUCCUCUGGUAUCUUAAAAUCUAGCACAUAAAAAAUAAGUCAUUUGGGAAAUAGUUACAAAACAUAGUUUUAAAAUCUAAAGGGAAAGAUGUGGGUGGAGAUGGAAAAGCAGUGGGCAGCACAGAAUUUAUUUUUUUCUUUUCAACUAACCUGUGCUUAGGAAAGAAAGGUAAGACAUUCAGCGUUGCGUUGCUGGCUCCUGACUGAACAACACAGAUUCACCGUUCAAUCUGUCUACAGGAAAAACACUGGAACUAAUGGGAGAUUAUGGGCACACCUCCCCCUACUGGGCAUAAUUUGCUACUGCUUACUCUAUGGUCUGCUGACAAAGGCGUGUGAUGGAAGGUUCCUCUGGAAACAGAAAACUUGGGAUUUUAUCUCUUGUUCAGGAGGCAUUAUCCCCUGGAGCCCGUCCCAUGCAGCCAGCCCCAGCCGUUUGUGAAGUGCUCUGCACAAGCGAAGAUAAAUCUCUUCAGAUCCUGACCUCAAGCAGCUUAGACUCUAGUAGUUGAAGUUAGAUAGGUACCUAAGACCCCAUAACAUGAAGUUGCAAGUGUUGUGUCAUAUGACGAAAAACUGGGAAGCAAAAGGGAUUACUUUCGGCAGUGGACUAGGGCCAAAUUUCACAGAAGGUUGUCACGGUGAAGGGAACGCUGAUCUUGGCAGUAAGAAGGCACUGGAGUGCAGGAAGCCAGUUAGAGGCUACCGACAUUUUUGUGGAUUGCAUCUCAUAUUGAAUAUAUGCCAUUUCAUAAUGUAACAACUUAGAUUGCUCAUAUGUAUGGAAUGAAUGUGGAUAAACAACUCGUGGUAUAUUCAGACAAUGGAAUACUAUCCAGAUACAAAAAGAACAACCUGCUGUGUUGACUCAUGCUACAGUAGGUAUGAAUCUCCCAAACAUUAUUCUGAACAGGAGAAACUGGGCAUAAAAUUGGGAAGACUGUAUGAUUCUGUUUAUAUGAUGAAAUUCUAGAAGAGAGUAAAGCCAUCUAUGUUGAUAGAAAUCAGAUCGGUGGUUGACCAGGGUAUGGUGGUACAGGUGUUGACUGAGUGCAAAUGAGCAAGAGGACGCUGAAAAGAUAUUCUAUAUCUUCUUUUUUUUUUAGAUAUUCUACAUCUUAAAUGGGGUCAGCGGUUACAUAGAUGACUAAGUUUGUUAGAAUUCAUCCAUUUCUAUGUGUAGACUAUAGAAAUUUUAAUGUAUGUAAAUUACACCACAAUAAAGUUUACUUAAAAAUUAGGAAUCCGUAAAGCAUACAAAGAUACUAUGGUCAGCAAAGUACUUGAUUUGUAAUUGGUCAUUUCUAAAUUGUGUUAAUUCAUCAUUAAAUGUAGUUUAAUAAAGCAAAUAAGCCUGCUUUAACUAAGAAUUGUGACCUUCUUCAAAACAAAAUGAGACAUGGUGGAUAGAGUGAGUCA